CUGGCAUCUGUUAGUGGAGGGUGUGCAAGGAGCAGGGAGUGAGAAGGUAUACUGGUGGUGGUGGUCUGAUGAGUACAAGCAUGAUCAAGCUUCAGGAGGAAGAUCCUGUGGAAUGCAGCCUCAUUUCAUUAGAGGAACGAACAGUUGGCUUUCUGCGUGGCUAAUUCUCGCAUUUGCUGAUCCCCUGGGAUAAGGAACAGGUAACUCUGGUUUCUGGGCCUCCUCUCGCUCAUUUUCCAUUUAACAGCAGCACAGAAUCAUGGGGAGGACUAUGGAGAUGGUAUGCGUCCUCCCUGAGUCCAUCCCUAGACAGCCCAAAUGGUUCAUCUGCAGGGUCCUCAGGAGAGCAGACGGAGCAGAGGCUGCAGCGGUCCAGGCUUCCCCACCAUGACCGGUCAAUCGGGGCAUCAUUUCAGAAAAACUGUGUGGGGCAAAGCUGUGUCAGCACAUGGAACAUUAUACAUAAUUAUAUUACACUCUGCAAAAUCAGGGAGGUGGCAAAAAGUGGACUGUCUAGAACCACAGAGUCUGUGGGGGAACCAAGUUCUGGGUGGGGGAAACUGCCCCCCCUUUCCCAUAGCAUGUGAUGUGCAUGCAGGCAAUGUUCCUGAAACCAGAGGGGACCCAUCUCGAGGGCUCAAAGGAGUGUCGAGUGCCAUGGCCCAUUCAGCCUCUGUGCUCUAGCUGCCAGCAAAGGGCCCAAUGAAAUCUCUUAUCAGAUAAGAGAGACUGUUAUUUUAGUAAUGUUUGUUCUGUAGAAUUAGAAAAUUAAUUCAGAUGCCUUUGCCCAUUGUGGCAGGAAUGAGGAUUCUGACAGUCACAUAUACAUUUGGAUGCUUUGCACUCUUAAUAAUUUGGUCUCUGAUGACAGCUCUUUGCCUUUUUCACAAUUAUAAUUUGGAUGUUGCUGACUUCCCCCUUAGCACUCAAACUGUUUAAGCAGCAUUUCUGGGGAUGCCAAGAGCUGCCAAGUGGAUAAUGCAUAAUGAGUGUCUGAGGAGGAGGAUGAACAUGUGUUAUCCUGUGCAAUAGAUAAUGCAGUACGAUAAUACUUCGCAUUUCUGUAUCUCCUUUCAUCUGAUGAACUCAGAGUGCUUUACAGGCACAAAUUAAGCCUAACAACUCCCUGAAAGAUAGUUAAACAUUAUUAACCCAACUUUACAGAUUGGGAAAUUAAGGCACAGAGAUUAAAGGACUUGCCCACGUCACUGUCAGUGCUGAAAAAAGAACCUAGGAAUCCCGCUGCCCUAACCACCAUGUGCUCUAACCAGGAGAUAGCUCGGCCUGCCCAGAGAGGAGAGGUACAUUUUGAGGUUGAAAGAAGUAUUCUAUUGUAAAUCACUGGGGGCUAGGUCUCUCUCUCUCUCUCUCUCUCUCUCUCUCUUUCGGCCGUUUUGUAGGAAAUUUGCCUGCAAAGCGCUCUCUUGAAGAUGCCAUCUACAUUAACAAAAGCCCCAGAAGACAAUCGCCUCUGAGGUAAUCACUCACCACUGCAGAAUUCUGGUCACUGUUAAGCACCAGUGUGUUUGAUCCCUGUGCCCCUUUUGCUCUGUCCCUACAUGCAGC